rnacentral:rRNA from 1 species
GUGCCAGCCGCCGCGGUAAUACGUAGGUGGCAAGCGUUAUCCGGAAUUAUUGGGCGUAAAGCGCACGUAGGCGGUUUUUUAAGUCUGAUGUGAAAGCCCACGGCUCAACCGUGGAGGGUCAUUGGAAACUGGAAAACUUGAGUGCAGAAGAGGAAAGUGGAAUUCCAUGUGUAGCGGUGAAAUGCGCAGAGAUAUGGAGGAACACCAGUGGCGAAGGCGACUUUCUGGUCUGUAACUGACGCUGAUGUGCGAAAGCGUGGGGAUCAAAC